AACGUAGGAGGCGAGCGUUAUCCGGAUUUACUGGGCGUAAAGCGCACGCAGGCGGUUUCGUUAGUCGGACGUAAAAGCUCCUGGCUUAACUGGGAGAGGCCGUUCGAUACUGCGAGACUUGAGGUUGGGAGAGGGGUGUGGAAUUCCCGGUGUAGUGGUGGAAUGCGUAGAUAUCGGGAGGAACACCUGUGGCGAAAGCGGCACCCUGGCCCAUACCUGACGCUGAGGUGCGAAAGCGUGGGUAGCAAACAGG
rnacentral:rRNA from 1 species